GUGGGGAAUUUUGGACAAUGGGCGCAAGCCUGAUCCAGCAAUGCCGCGUGCAGGAAGAAGGCCUUCGGGUUGUAAACUGCUUUUGUACGGAACGAAACGGUCCUGGUUAAUACCUGGGGCUAAUGACGGUACCGUAAGAAUAAGCACCGGCUAACUACGUGCCAGCAGCCGCGGUAAUACGUAGGGUGCGAGCGUUAAUCGGAAUUACUGGGCGUAAAGCGUGCGCAGGCGGUUGUGUAAGACAGGUGUGAAAUCCCCGGGCUUAACCUGGGAACUGCGCUUGUGACUGCACGGCUAGAGUAUGGCAGAGGGGGGUGGAAUUCCACGUGUAGCAGUGAAAUGCGUAGAUAUGCGGAGGAACACCGAUGGCGAAGGCAAUCCCCUGGGCCUGUACUGACGCUCAUGCACGAAAGCGUGGGGAGCAAACAGGAUUAGAUACCCUAGUAGUCC
rnacentral:rRNA from 1 species